GAUGAACGCUGGCGGCGUGCUUAACACAUGCAAGUCGAACGGAAAGGCCUCUGCUUGCAGGGGUACUCGAGUGGCGAACGGGUGAGUAACACGUGGGUGAUCUGCCCUGCACUUCGGGAUAAGCCUGGGAAACUGGGUCUAAUACCGGAUAGGACAAUGGUUUGGAUGCUGUUGUGGAAAGUUUUUCGGUGUGGGAUGAGCUCGCGGCCUAUCAGCUUGUUGGUGGGGUAAUGGCCUACCAAGGCGUCGACGGGUAGCCGGCCUGAGAGGGUGUACGGCCACAGUGGGACUGAGAUACGGCCCAGACUCCUACGGGAGGCAGCAGUGGGGAAUAUUGCACAAUGGGCGCAAGCCUGAUGCAGCGACGCCGCGUGGGGGAUGACGGCCCUCGGGUUGUAAACUCCUUUCGCUAGGGACGAAGCGUUUUUGUGACGGUACCUGGAGAAGAAGCACCGGCUAACUACGUG
rnacentral:rRNA from 1 species